AUGUCUAUAGAUUCUUGGCUGGUCCACACAGCAACCCUGGAAAUGGCAAAGGGUUAUGAUUUCUAUUUUACAGAUGAAGAAGUGAGAAGGAGGAGAAGGGGAUGCCAUUUGCUCAAGGCUGCUGGCACACUAGGUUUGCUCUGGGACUAUCACGGAAAGUUCCUAACCCCCAGCCAUGGCUCUUCUUACAGCACAAGAGUGAGCUCAGAGAAGUUGAUGAACCUGCCAAGGACCCCAGCUGAGAGACUGAAUUGGUGUGCAGAUUCCAAAGCUCACAUGCAUUCCAUUUUAUCUCAUCUUCAGUGGACUUUGAACAUGACUCAGCCUUCACCUUGACCCUUGGUGAAGUUACUGAGAAUCAAGACCCAGUGUGGCCAUGUCUCGGGAGCUUCCUGCAGCUCAGCAGCUGACUCCCAAACCUGGAGGUCCUCACUCUGCAUCCUGUACUCUGCCCUCUGGCUGAUCGUCAGCAUUCUCAGGCAGCCUGGCUCCCUGUAAAGUUGCUAAAACUUGUGUUUAUCAUCAUCUUCCAUCAUUUCUAAUUGUUUUCCUGUGUCCCUUUCUUUUGUAGAGGAUAUAAACUCAGCAUUUUAGCUUUUGAAAUAGAUUUGCUGUGCAGAUUCAUGGCUUUUGAGUGGCUUAAAAUGUAUUGUUCUGCGAGUCUCUCUGUACCAGUCACAGCAUUCACUGUGGGAAGCAGCAGGACGCCAGUGAUGCUGAUGUUUAUUUGACUUUAGGGGGCUUUAAGGCAUUCCUGGGACCAUAAGGAUUAGAAAUAUUCUGCCUCGUUGUCUUCAGAAGCUACUAAAAUAUCCUAGAAAUUAUCAUGUUUCAUAUUUCACAUUGCCUCUUGUAUCCUUACAUGGCCUUUAUCAAGAGCCUGGCAUAAACCACUGUAAUGGUUCUGAAAUAGGAACAUCAUGGUUCUCCAAUCACUAAAGCCCUUUCCACUCUGAGACUGGACAUUCAUUGCUGUUUUCUGCCUGCGCUCUGAUUUACAAGACUGUCUAUGAAUUCUCUGUUUAAUAUACAGUACGUGGUUGGUUGCCCUCAAUGCAUGAGACUUCCUGGUAUUUUUUCACGUGGUUAGAUGGAUAACAUUUGUUACAUAUUUAUUGUUUAGAUAUACUAGCAAUCCUCACUUUGCAGAAUAUCAGGUCUGCAUAUUGAAACCAUGUACUCACUUUGAACAAUCCUGUGGUAACUGUGAAGUGAGAACACAGGUCUGAUAGAUAUGCGUUUCAUUGGUAGUAUGCAUUGUGAAGACUAUCUGAAAUUGUUUUCAAAUAAAAUUUGGAUAAGGACUGUAACUACA
rnacentral:lncRNA from 13 species